rnacentral:lncRNA from 1 species
GGGCACCACAUAAUGAGCUGGAUCUGCUAACCAUUCUAGAUAACCUGAGACCACCCUGGUUUUUGGUGGGGUUUAUGUUGCUCAGUUUUAUUUUUUCUAUAUUGAAUUAUAAUGAUUGCAGUUUUGACUUUCCAUCUUUUUUUUUUUUUUUUGCCCAGCUUUGUCAGUUUGUUCUCCAAAUUUCAGUUUGAUUGUUCCUUUCGACCCAUUCACCAUUCCUUACCUACUACUCUAUGAAUGCUUUUUAAAAAAAACACGAGAUCAUCAAUUUAUGUGUUUUAACCAGCAUAAACUGUUUUCUUUGAGAAUCAAGUGUAUUCACUAAUAUACAAUAAAAUUC